rnacentral:rRNA from 1 species
GGGGAAUGCCUCAGUACGGCGAGUGAGCGGCAAGAGCUCAAAUUUGAAAUCUGGCCCCUCCGGGGUCCGAGUUGUAAUUUGCAGAGGAUGCUUCGGGUGCGGCCCCUGUCUAAGUGCCCUGGAACGGGCCGUCAGAGAGGGUGAGAAUCCCGUCUUGGGCAGGGUGCCCGUGCCCGUGUGAAGCUCCUUCGACGAGUCGAGUUGUUUGGGAAUGCAGCUCAAAAUGGGUGGUAAAUUUCAUCUAAAGCUAAAUACCGGCCGGAGACCGAUAGCGCACAAGUAGAGUGAUCGAAAGAUGAAAAGCACUUUGAAAAGAGAGUUAAACAGCACGUGAAAUUGUUGAAAGGGAAGCGCUUGCAACCAGACUCGGCCUCGGGGUUCAGCCAGCAUUCGUGCUGGUGUACUUCCCCGGGGCCGGGCCAGCGUCGGUUUGGGCGGCCGGUCAAAGGCCCCAGGAAUGUAUCGUCCUCCGGGACGUCUUAUAGCCUGGGGUGCAAUGCGGCCAGCCUGGACCGAGGAACGCGCUUCGGCACGGACGCUGGCGUAAUGGUCGCAAACGAC